CUGCGUUACUAUGGGACCUGAUGUGUUAUGAAGCGGUGGGACUGUGUAUUGUCUUGGGACUGUUCCAGCAAUUCGCACCACUAAUUAUGAGGCGCUGCUGCUGAUCUAUUUCAGGAUCCUUGUCGAGAUGGAGGAGAUAGAAGCUCCUCUACAGUGGGUGUGUUUCCACCAUGAUGGGCUCCACGGCCACUUUCUGUUGCUCUGAGCGACGCCACGCUGCCAUGACGACGGCCGACGUGUCCUCCCAUUGGUCGGGAUAUUCCCCGCCCAGACCGAGGAGGUGUGGCUGCUCUUCUUCGAAGGUCGAUAACAGAUUCCUCGACUUCACUAAAAGAGAAAAAAAAA